GUAGGUGGCAAGCGUUGUCCGGAAUUAUUGGGCGUAAAGCGCGCGCAGGCGGUUCUUUAAGUCUGAUGUGAAAGCCCACGGCUCAACCGUGGAGGGUCAUUGGAAACUGGAGAACUUGAGUACAGAAGAGGAAAGCGGAAUUCCACGUGUAGCGGUGAAAUGCGUAGAGAUGUGGAGGAACACCAGUGGCGAAGGCGGCUUUCUGGUCUGUAACUGACGCUGAGGCGCGAAAGCGAGGGGAGCAAACAGGGAUUAGAUACCCUGGUAGUCCACGCCGUAAACGAUGAGUGCUAAGUGUUAGGGGGUUUCCGCCCCCUUAGUGCUGCAGCUAACGCAUUAAGCACUCCGCCUGGGGAGUACGGCCGCAAGGCUG
rnacentral:rRNA from 1 species